UACAGAGGGUGCAAGCGUUAAUCGGAAUUACUGGGCGUAAGGCGCGCGUAGGUGGUUUGUUAAGUUGGAUGUGAAAUCCCCGGGCUCAACCUGGGAACUGCAUCCAAAACUGGCAAGCUAGAGUAUGGUAGAGGGUGGUGGAAUUUCCUGUGUAGCGGUGAAAUGCGUAGAUAUAGGAAGGAACACUAGUGGCGAAGGCGACCACCUGGACUGAUACUGACACUGAGGUGCGAAAGCGUGGGGAGCAAACAGG
rnacentral:rRNA from 1 species